GGUGGCGCUGGAUAGCGGUAAGAGCGGGGGCUCCAAAGGCAGAACUUCCAGCUUCACAUCUCAGCUCUGCACCUGCUCGCUGUAUGACUUUAGCAAGCAACUGGAUCUUUCUAAGCGUCAGCUUCGUUGUCUUAAAUGUUAGUUAAUGUUCCAUAUAAAGAAACUGUCAUGUGACACCAGUACCUCCUAAAAUUGGUCAGUGUGGUAGAUGGUUUAGAGAAAAAAGGAACCUGUUCCACAGGGCUGUGACCAUUCGAGGGAAGCACAUUCAAAGAUGUAGAUCCCCUCAGAGAAGUUUUCCAUUUCCCUGAAGUUAAAGAUCUUCAAAUGACUGCAAAUAACAUGAGGAUAUAUAGAAAAAUGCCCUUCCCCAAUUUCCAAAUCGUGAAAAUUUGGCUCAGCAGAGCCCUAAUUUGUUUAGAACUGUAAUAUGCACAGUUAAAACAACUUGUCCUCUCAGGACCUUUUGCAGUUAGGGUUGGUCGUAUGACAUGGUCCUGCGAAGAAGAUACGGAUAGAAGUCUGUGGGCCACCAGUGGAUUGAAUGAUGCCCGUAUGCACUGAGAAGGGCCAUGUGUUUACUCGGUCUACCAAUUCAAAUGUUAAUCUCAUCCAAAAACACCCUCACAGAUACCUUUGGAAUGAUGUUUAACCAAAUAUUUGGGUACCGUCUUCCCCAGUGAAGUUGACACAAAAUUAACCAUCACAGCUGCCUUCCUGUGGGCCUCAUGUUAUAUGAGAACAGUAUUGGGUGUACACUUAAAGCGUUCUGGGAAUAUGAAUCCCUUCUGCACCCUGGAAUCACCAGUCCAGCCAUGCAUG
rnacentral:lncRNA from 1 species